UGGAAAACGCUCUUCUGAGAGGAUCUGUGGAGGUCAACCCAGGAGAGAGAAGACAGGACUGAAGCACUGAAAGGGUCCUGCCGUUAAGGGCGCAGGAUUGUAUAGAAUAUAUAAUAGCAGUAGCAGCUCUGUUUACGGAGCAUUAACCUUACGUGGAGUUAUUUCCUGCAUUUCCUCCUUUCGUCUUUACAAGGUAGCCGUUUGGCGUCGUGAGGUAUGGAUGUUCCCAUCCCUAAUUUGCAAAAUAGGUAACUGAGGCUCAGGAGAGCUAGACUAGUUUGUGCACAGCCGAGAAGUGGUCAAGCUAGAAUGGGACCCCAGGUUUGUGCUCCCUACUCUCCACCGAUAACCUAUCAAAGGGCUUUGCAAGAGCUUUUGACUAAUCGUCUGUCAAUGGUUCUUCAUUCACGUAUUAAUUGCACAUCAGUAUGUGCCAAAUCUACUAGACAUUGGAGAAACAGUAGGAACAACACAUGGUACCGGCACAUGGAUCUUUCAGGAAAACGAAGUAGGUAAUAAACAGGAAAAAGCCCGAGUCUGAUGCUAAGAAGAACAUAAACAGGAUGCUGAGGUAAGAGAAUAACUGGAUGUGGGGACUUCUUCGUAUUAGAUGAUUAAGGAAGGAAUCUCAGGAGGUAACAUUUAAGCUGAGACCCCUGAGGAAUGAGAAAGGGCUGGCUAUUGGAAAUCCAAGGAAAGAUUUCUGGGCAGAUGGGUAGAAAUUUUAAGGUGGAAAUAAGCUAAAUAUGUUCAAGAAUCAGCAAGAAGGUCAUUGUAGCUGGAGUAGAUCGAGUAGGAGGAGACUGAUAAAGGGUGAGGUUGGAGGCUGGGCGCGGUGGGUCACGCCUGUAAUCCCAGCACUUCGGGAGGCCAAGGCGGGCGGAUCACUUGAAGUCAGGAGUUCGAGACCGGCCUGGCCAACAUGGCGAAACCCCGUCUCUAUUUCAAAAAAAGAAAAAAAAAAGUAUAAAAAGGAUGAGGUUGGAGAUGUGGGCAGGGGCUGCAUCAUAUGUGGCCUUUGGGGGUCAUAAUCAGGACUUUGGAUUUUAUUCUAAGCUAUUGUAAGGUUUUAAAGUAAAGAGUGAUGUGAACAAAUUUGUUUUAAAAGAUCACUCUGCUUUGUAGAGAAUAGAAUAUAGGAAAGCAAGAAUGGAAACAGAGCUAUUAGGAGGCUAUUGGAGAAUAAUGCAGAUGAGAGAUUAUUACACUGUCUGAACUAAGGAGGUGGCGGUAAAGGUGUAGAGAAGAUGGAUUUUUUUUUUUAAACGGUCCCACUGUCUAGAGUGCAGUGGCGUGAUCACAGCUCACUGCAACCUAGACCUCCUGGGCUCAGGCGAUCCUCCCACCUCAGCAUCCUGAGUAGCUGGGACUAUAGGCGCAUGCCACCAUGCCUGGCUAAUUUUUCGUAUUUUUUUUGUAGAGAUUGGGUCUCUCCACAUUGCCCCGGCUGCUCUCCAACCCCUGAGUUCAAGUGAUUCACCUCCCUUGGCCUCCCAAAGUACUGGGAUUACAGGCGUGAGCCACCGUGCCUGGCUGAGAAGAUGGAUUUAAGACAUAUUUUGGAGCGGAAAGUGACCAGAAGAGGUGUGCAGUUUCCAGGCCUGGCCCAUACAGACCUCCAACAGGUGCUCCCCUGUGCUGUUACUCCUUCUGCCAACUGGAAGCAGAUGGUGACCAGGCUCUGGAGAAGGCAAGGCCUGAAGAUGGGAGAUUCCUAAGUGGAGGAGAACUGUGCCUUACUGACCUAAAUAUCCACUCAGUAUUGUUAUGUGAGAAUAAAUAAAC
ensembl:lncRNA MAPKAPK5-AS1 MAPKAPK5 antisense RNA 1